rnacentral:snRNA from 1 species
GGAUGUGAGGGCGAUCUGGCUGCAACAUCUGUCACCCUGUAGAUUGCCAGGGUUGAUUCGGCUGAUCUGGCUGGCUAGGUGGGUGUUCCCUUCCUCACCGUUCCAUGUGCAUCCCUCCUGAAGCUGUGCCCUUGCUUGAAGACAGUGGACCUUCCCUGAUAGAGGAGGACUGUUCUCAGAUCAGGGGUAGCUGUGCUCCCCUGCUGGAACCUCCAGACAGGCUCUCAAGAUCCAUUUGUAGAGAAGCAGUCCAAGUAGGUAGUAGGUAGUGGUGCUGCCUGUGGCAGUCUGCCUUUUAAA